rnacentral:rRNA from 1 species
AUUGAACGCUGGCGGCAGGCCUAACACAUGCAAGUCGAGCGAGUGGCGGACGGGUGAGUAAUGUAUGGGGAUCUGCCUGAUAGAGGGGGAUAACUACUGGAAACGGUGGCUAAUACCGCAUACCAUCAGAUGUACCCAGAUGGGAUUAGCUAGUGGGUGGGGUAAAGGCUCACCAAGGCGACGAUCCCUAGCUGGUCUGAGAGGAUGACCAGCCACACUGGGACUGAGACACGGCCCAGACUCCUACGGGAGGCAGCAGUGGGGAAUAUUGCACAAUGGGCGCAAGCCUGAUACAGCCAUGCCGCGUGUAUGAAGAAGGCCUUCGGGUUGUAAAGUACUUUCAGCGGGGAGGCGUUACCCGCAGAAGAAGCACCGGCUAACUCCGUGCCAGCCGCCGCGGUAAUUC